UGGGGAAUUUUGGACAAUGGGCGAAAGCCUGAUCCAGCAAUGCCGCGUGUGUGAAGAAGGCCUUCGGGUUGUAAAGCACUUUUGUCCGGAAAGAAAUCCUUGGCUCUAAUACAGUCGGGGGAUGACGGUACCGGAAGAAUAAGCACCGGCUAACUACGUGCCAGCAGCCGCGGUAAUACGUAGGGUGCAAGCGUUAAUCGGAAUUACUGGGCGUAAAGCGUGCGCAGGCGGUUUGCUAAGACCGAUGUGAAAUCCCCGGGCCCAACCUGGGAACUGCAUUGGUGACUGGCAGGCUAGAGUAUGGCAGAGGGGGGUAGAAUUCCCACGUGUAGCAGUGAAAUGCGUAGAGAUGUGGAGGAAUACCGAUGGCGAAGGCAGCCCCUGGGCCAAUACUGACGCUCAUGCA
rnacentral:rRNA from 1 species